rnacentral:rRNA from 1 species
GGAGGAAAGCAGGGGAUCGCAAGACCUUGCGCUUUUGGAGCGGCCGAUGUCUGAUUAGCUUGUUGGUAAGGUAAAAGCUUACCAAGGCUUCGAUCAGUAGCUGGUCUGAGAGGACGACCAGCCACACUGGGACUGAGACACGGCCCAGACUCCUACGGGAGGCAGCAGUGGGGAAUUUUGGACAAUGGGGGCAACCCUGAUCCAGCCAUGCCGCGUGAGUGAAGAAGGCCUUCGGGUUGUAAAGCUCUUUCAGCCGGAACGAAACGGUUACGGUUAAUACCCGUGACUACUGACGGUACCGGAAGAAGAAGCACCGGCUAACUACGUGCCAGCAGCCGCGGUAAUACGUAGGGUGCGAGCGUUAAUCGGAAUUACUGGGCGUAAAGCGUGCGCAGGUGGUUUUGUAAGUCAGAUGUGAAAUCCCCGGGCUCAACCUGGGAACUGCGUUGAAACUACAAAGCUAG